GAGCGGCCGAUAUCGGAUUAGCUAGUUGGUGGGGUAACGGCUCACCAAGGCGACGAUCCGUAGCUGGUUUGAGAGGACGACCAGCCACACUGGGACUGAGACACGGCCCAGACUCCUACGGGAGGCAGCAGUGGGGAAUUUUGGACAAUGGGGGAAACCCUGAUCCAGCCAUCCCGCGUGUGCGAUGAAGGCCUUCGGGUUGUAAAGCACUUUUGGCAGGAAAGAAACGUCAUGGGCUAAUACCCCGUGAAACUGACGGUACCUGCAGAAUAAGCACCGGCUAACUACGUGCCAGCAGCCGCGGUAAUACGUAGGGUGCAAGCGUUAAUCGGAAUUACUGGGCGUAAA
rnacentral:rRNA from 1 species